GACGAACCGUGCGAACGUUAUUCGGAAUCACUGGGCUUAAAGCGCGUGUAGGCGGCCCGGCAUGUCCGUCGCUGAAAUCCCCCGGCUCAACCGGGGAACGGGCGGGGAUACGACCGGGCUGGAGGGGGGUAGGGGGGACGGGAACUCACGGUGGAGCGGUGAAAUGCGUUGAGAUCGUGAGGAACGCCCGCGGCGAAAGCGCGUCCCUGGACCCCGCCUGACGCUGAGACGCGAAAGCCAGGGGAGCGAACGGG
rnacentral:rRNA from 1 species